UACGAAGGGGGCUAGCGUUGCUCGGAAUCACUGGGCGUAAAGGGUGCGUAGGCGGGUCUUUAAGUCAGGGGUGAAAUCCUGGAGCUCAACUCCAGAACUGCCUUUGAUACUGAAGAUCUUGAGUUCGGGAGAGGUGAGUGAAUUGCGAGUGUAGAGGUGAAAUUCGUAGAUAUUCGCAAGAACACCAGUGGCGAAGGCGGCUCACUGGCCCGAUACUGACGCUGAGGCACGAAAGCGUGGGGAGCAAACAGGG
rnacentral:rRNA from 1 species